ensembl:lncRNA
GAAAGCUACUCACUGCUCUUGCCAGAAGCUCUGAGCCACCUUGAUGGUGAUUAUCUGGUGACAGUUUCACAAGCUGUCAGUGACCGUUGUGCCUGAGCGGUCCUGCUGAAGCAUCUGGAGUCAGUCAAGCUAUAAAGUAAAGCUGAACGGAAGCGUGGUGUUUUGCCUGCAUUUCCCCAGCUGCUACUGGAAAGGAGAGAUCAGCAAUCUUUCCUGAGUCAUCUGACGUGAGCAGUCCUGUGUCUCUUGGCCCUAUCUUCUGUGACAGAGCUUUUCUCCUUAAGAAGAGUGUGGUGUUCAACAAAGAUUCCAGACACUAGUUCCUCCAGUCUGCCAAAAAUGUCCACCGGGGACAGUCCAAACAUGAGAAGAUCGUUUCAACACACCAACCAAAUGGGGUGGUGUAAGAUAAAAGAAAGCCAUGGCAAAGCUUAAAUCAAGGAAUGAAAAAUUCACCUUUUGGAGGGAAUCAGAUACAAUAAUUACUUGCUCAAUAGUAUCUUAUUGUAUCGGAGAAGGCAAUGGCAACUCACUCCAGUGUUCUUGCCUGGAGAAUCCCAGGGACAGGGGAGCCUGAUGGGCUUUCAUCUAUGGGGUCGCACAGAGUCGGACACGACUGAAGCAACUU